UACGAAGGGGGCUAGCGUUGUUCGGAAUUACUGGGCGUAAAGCGCACGUAGGCGGAUUGUUAAGUUAGGGGUGAAUCCCGGGGCUCAACCCCGGAACUGCCUUUAAUACUGGCAAUCUCGAGUCCGAGAGAGGUGAGUGGAAUUCCGAGUGUAGAGGUGAAAUUCGUAGAUAUUCGGAGGAACACCAGUGGCGAAGGCGGCUCACUGGCUCGGUACUGACGCUGAGGUGCGAAAGCGUGGGGAGCAAACAGG
rnacentral:rRNA from 1 species